AUUUUGGUUGUGAGCUGGGAGCACAGA
rnacentral:piRNA from 2 species